rnacentral:rRNA from 1 species
UACGUAGGGUGCGAGCGUUAAUCGGAAUUACUGGGCGUAAAGCGUGCGCAGGCGGUUCGUUGUGUCUGAUGUGAAAGCCCCGGGCUCAACCUGGGAAUGGCAUUGGAAACUGGCGAGCUAGAGUGUGGCAGAGGGGGAUGGAAUUCCGCGUGUAGCAGUGAAAUGCGUAGAUAUGCGGAGGAACACCGAUGGCGAAGGCAAUCCCCUGGGCCUGCACUGACGCUCAUGCACGAAAGCGUGGGGAGCAAACAGG